AUUAAUACCGGAUACUCUCUCGGGACCGCAUGGUCCCUUGAGGAAAUGGUCCGCUGCUGGGGGAUGGUCUCGCGGCCUAUCAGGUUGUUGGUGAGGUAACGGCUCACCAAGCCGAAGACGGGUAGCUGGUCUGAGAGGACGAUCAGCCACACUGGAACUGAGACACGGUCCAGACUCCUACGGGAGGCAGCAGCAGGGAAUAUUGCACAAUGGGCGAAAGCCUGAUGCAGCGACGCCGCGUGCGGGAUGAAGGCCUUCGGGUUGUAAACCGCUUUCAGGAGGGAAGAAACUGACGGUACCUCCAGAAGAAGCUCCGGCCAACUACGUGCCAGCAGCCGCGGUAAUACGUAGGGAGCGAACGUUGUCCGGAAUUAUUGGGCGUAAAGGGCUCGUAGGCGGUUCAACAAGUCGGUCGUGAAAGCCCGGGGCUCAACCCCGGGACGCCGGUCGAAACUGUUGUGACUUGAGUUCGGUAGAGGUGAGUGGAAUUCUCAGUGUAGCGGUGGAAUGCGCAGAUAUUGAGAGGAACACCAUUAGCGAAGGCGGCUCACUGGGCCGAUACUGACGCUGAGGAGCGAAAGCGUGGGGAGCAAACAGGAUUAGAUACCCUGGUAGUCCACGCCGUAAACGAUGAACACUAGGUGUAGCGGACCGAUUCACGUCUGCUGCGCCGUAGCUAACGCAUUAAGUGUUCCGCCCUGGGGAGUACGGCCGCAAGGCUAAAACUCAAAGGAAUUGACGGGGCCCCCGCACAAGCGGCGGAGCAUGCGGCUUAAUUCGAUGCAACCCGAAGAACCUUACCUGGGGUUUGACAUCAUGGGGUCUAGCUG
rnacentral:rRNA from 1 species